rnacentral:sRNA from 1 species
UCAUCCGGUAGGUGAGGCUACCACGGGGAUAUGGAUUGCUGCCGCAAAAUGGUGGAGACACCAUGAGAGGGUCAGCAGGGUAUGUCGAAAAACAAGGCGUAUCCUAACGCAAUUUCAACGGUGACUUGUCGCCGCGCCCCGCGAAGUCAAAGCUCGAACGGUGGCG